AAGACUUUAAGUUAAAUAAACUAAAAACCUUCAAAGUUUUCAAUAGAGUAUAUCUAAGUCUUG
rnacentral:tRNA from 1 species